UGCUUGUAAAUGAUUUACCUUCCCUCCGCCUUGUCUAUUACUUACAAACUAUGUAUGUGCACUCUGACCUCACACACUUUCACCCCACUUAGCAGUCUGGUCUCCAGGGGACUGUGUACAGAGACCCUGCUGGAGCACAGACAGCUUUGGUUGAUAGAGCCUGUGGUGUGUGGACAUUUCGCCCUCGCCUUCCUCCUCAGCCUCACACUCCUGGAGGUGUGAUGUCAGUCCUUAAGCUAUCCUGCCUUCAUCUCAAAGGACCGCACCAGGAGAUGGAGCGCCAGGGAGCUCAUGAGAGCCUACACCAGCCUGACACUGGAAAGAACAAAUGUCUUUUUUUUUUUUUUAUGACGGCUGAAGGGAGCAGCCAGUGCGUCCUUUAGUAUAGUAUUUGAAAAACCUAAAUACACUGUUAUGAACUAUGCCACUCUUUAAAAAGACUAAAGUUCUCAAGGCUCAAUAGGUGAAGAGAUCACCCAAAGAUGAGGCAGAGCCCCACGCAUUCACCUCCUCAGGUCCUCGAUGCAGCCUCUGGGCAGCUCCAUGCUGUUGGCAUCUUUUUCUCCAUUCCGUGAGCCGAGCGAGAAGACUCUUAGAAGAAAACAAGAGAAGUCUUCUCACAAAUGCCCUCCGAUGGGCAGGCCCUUUACAUCAAGCCUGGCAGCCAUGUGCUGGCCCCUCCACCUCUGUCACCUCAUGAGAGCCCCGCCCCCAAUGCAGGACUCCAGGCUGUGCCAACCCUCACUCAGAGAAGUGAGAUGGCUACCUCAGACUAGAUGUUCAGCCAGAA